AGGGUGCGAGCGUUGUUCGGAAUCACUGGGCGUAAAGCGCGUGUAGGCGGCCCAGUAGGUCUGAUGUGAAAGCCCGGGGCUCACCCCCGGAAGUGCAUUGGAAACUGGUGGACUCGAGUCCCGGAGAGGAGAGUGGAAUUCCUGGUGUAGCGGUGAAAUGCGUAGAUAUCAGGAGGAACACCGGUGGCGAAGGCGGCUCUCUGGACGGUGACUGACGCUGAGACGCGAAAGCGUGGGGAGCAAACAGG
rnacentral:rRNA from 1 species